AAACCGUGAUGUGGGCACUCUAAUAGGAGGUCUUUGAAACGUUCCAUGAAUCGAUAAAAUGAUUCAUUGGGUCUUUGGCAAAACUAGAGAUUGUCGUUCCUAAGUUU
rnacentral:snoRNA from 1 species